rnacentral:rRNA from 1 species
AGAGUGAACGCUGGCGGUAGGCCUAACACAUGCAAGUCGAACGGCAGCACAGUAGGAGCUUGCUCUUACGGGUGGCGAGUGGCGGACGGGUGAGGAAUACAUCGGAAUCUACCUUUUGGUGGGGGAUAACGUAGGGAAACUUACGCUAAUACCGCAUACGCCCUUCGGGGGAAAGCCGGGGACCAGCAAUGGCCUGGUGCUGAUAGAUGAGCCGAUGUCGGAUUAGCUAGGUUGGUGAGGUAAUGGCUCACCAAGGCGACGAUCCGUAGCUGGUCUGAGAGGAUGAUCAGCCACAC